UGGCCGUGAUGACUAUCUUAGGACACCUUUGGAGUCAAACAUGAAAAUGAUCUUUAAUCUGAGCCAC